AUCAUUCUGACAGUUCACUCGGGCGUUUGUCUUUUCAGCGGGUUCUCUAAGUAAUUAAAACGUUAAAGAACGACUUUAAAAGACAAAAAACACGAAAUGUGAUAGAUAAAGUGGAAAUUCAACUAGAAUUCAUCGAAACCCAACAUGGAAAAGCAUCAUGUCGUUUGCUGGCGAUGUAAAGGGCGUUUGAAGUUGAACACCUGCACCUGCAGAACGACCUCAGGCUGAGGCACAAUCUAGUGCUGCAGAUGGUCGAAGUCUCUCCAUUAAUCUUUUAUUGCCAUCCGUGUCAUUGAGACUGACGUUUGACCAAUGUUGGGCCAGCGAUUGAUGGGAAUUCUGAGGGCGAGGCCAGGCUAAUGAAGCUAGCAACGGGUCAACGCUUGAUACAAAUCUACAUCCCACAGGGAGAGCGCUCAGGUCUUGGUACUGCUAACACUGGGCCAACAUUAUGCCUUGGUUUGCUGGGAAGGCUGGGCAGAGGCCAGGCUUCUGCUGGGUAAGGGCUAUUUCUGAAGGACACUGGGGAGGGUACAGCUGGUUUCUCUGCUGUUCGGAGUGUAAAGCAGCCAGCCUGCUGAAACAAAGCCAAUCAGCUGCUGCUGAGAAACCGUCUGUCUUCAAUGGAUUCAAACCCGCCUCUUGUACUUCUUUCACCUUUGUUGUGUGCACUCAUCUGCAUUUACUGUCUCUACAUGUUACAGUAAAGUACUGCACUUUAGAUUAUGGAACAGAUCACGUUUUCUUGGUUAAUUAGCUAUUCGGUAAUCAGAUUUGAGGGGUAGAUUUGGUGACAUACUCUUGGAUCUGUAUGUUUUUACUGGAGAAACGUUUCCAAGGCAUUCCUAACUCCAACCCUAACCAUUAAACACAGUUUAAAUCAGAACGAUAGCUUGAUAAUUCUGAUUAGUCUGAUCGGUUCGCAGACUGCAAUGUAAGACGAACAUACAGUACAUCAUGACCAGUUUAGUCUGAUCCAUGAACAUCUGAUCCAUUUCUCUUAAUUAAUUCAGAAAUAUACGGCAUUCAUUUGUCAUACACAUAUUUGUUCUAUUAUAUUUAAGUCAUGAAAUUGUAGGAUUUCGUGUUUCAUAACAACUUCUUGCAAGCAAGAACAGUAAGCGAAUGGCUGUUAUAACUGAAAUGUACCCAAUGUAAUCUUGAAUUAAAUCCAAUCAAAUCA